rnacentral:rRNA from 1 species
AUUGAACGCUGGCGGCAGGCCUAACACAUGCAAGUCGAGCGGAUGACGGGAGCUUGCUCCUUGAUUCAGCGGCGGACGGGUGAGUAAUGCCUAGGAAUCUGCCUGGUAGUGGGGGACAACGUUUCGAAAGGAACGCUAAUACCGCAUACGUCCUACGGGAGAAAGCAGGGGACCUUCGGGCCCUGCGCUAUCAGAUGAGCCUAGGUCGGAUUAGGUAGUUGGUGAGGUAAUGGCUCACCAAGGCGACGAUCCGUAACUGGUCUGAGAGGAUGAUCAGUCACACUGGAACUGAGACACGGUCCAGACUCCUACGGGAGGCAGCAGUGGGGAAUAUUGGACAAUGGGCGAAAGCCUGAUCCAGCCAUGCCGCGUGUGUGAAGAAGGUCUUCGGAUUGUAAAGCACUUUAAGUUGGGAGGAAGGGCAGUAAGCGAAUACCUUGCUGUUUUGACGUUACCGACAGAAUAAGCACCGGCUAACUCUGUGCCAGCCGCCGCGGUAAAAC